rnacentral:misc_RNA from 1 species
GAUGAAGAACGUAGCGAAAUGCGAUAAGUAAUGUGAAUUGCAGAAUUCAGUGAAUCAUCGAAUCUUUGAACGCACAUUGCGCCCGCCAGUAUUCUGGCGGGCAUGCCUGUUCGAGCGUCAUUUCAACCAUCAAGCCCCAGGCUUGUGUUGGGGACCUGCGGCUGCCGCAGGCCCUGAAAACCAGUGGCGGGCUCGCUGUCACACCGGGCGUAGUAGAUUUUAUCUCGCUCAGGGCGUGNUGCGGGUUCCGGCCGUUAAAAAGCCUUUUUUACCCAAGGUUGACCUCGGAUCAGGUAGGAAGACCCGCUGAACUUAAGCAUAUCAAUAAGCGGAGGA